AUCUACAGGCUUAACACAUGCAAGUCGAGGGGCAGCAUGGUCUUAGCUUGCUAAGGCCGAUGGCGACCGGCGCACGGGUGAGUAACGCGUAUCCAACCUGCCUUACACUCUUGGACAGCCUUCUGAAAGGGAGAUUAAUACAAGAUGUUAUCAUGAGUAAGCAUUUUCGCAUGAUUAAAGGUUUACCGGUGUAAGAUGGGGAUGCGUUCCAUUAGAUAGUAGGCGGGGUAACGGCCCACCUAGUCUUCGAUGGAUAGGGGUUCUGAGAGGAAGGUCCCCCACAUUGGAACUGAGACACGGUCCAAACUCCUACGGGAGGCAGCAGUGAGGAAUAUUGGUCAAUGGACGAGAGUCUGAACCAGCCAAGUAGCGUGAAGGAUGAAGGUUCUAUGGAUUGUAAACUUCUUUUAUACGGGAAUAAACGAAUCCACGUGUGGAUUUUUGCAUGUACCGUAUGAAUAAGGAUCGGCUAACUCCGUGCCAGCAGCCGCGGUAAUACGGAGGAUCCGAGCGUUAUCCGGAUUUAUUGGGUUUAAAGGGAGCGUAGAUGGGUUGUUAAGUCAGUUGUGAAAGUUUGCGGCUCAACCGUAAAAUUGCAAUUGAUACUGGCAGUCUUGAGUACAGUUGAGGUAGGCGGAAUUCGUGGUGUAGCGGUGAAAUGCUUAGAUAUCACGAAGAACUCCGAUUGCGAAGGCAGCUUACUAACCUGUAACUGACAUUGAUGCUCGAAAGUGUGGGUAUCAAACAGGAUUAGAUACCCUGGUAGUCCACACGGUAAACGAUGAAUACUCGCUGUAGGCGAUAUACAGUCUGCGGCCAAGCGAAAGCAUUAAGUAUUCCACCUGGGGAGUACGCCGGCAACGGUGAAACUCAAAGGAAUUGACGGGGGCCCGCACAAGCGGAGGAACAUGUGGUUUAAUUCGAUGAUACGCGAGGAACCUUACCCGGGCUUAAAUUGCAACCGAAUAUGGCGGAAACGCUAUAGCUAGCAAUAGCGGUUGUGAAGGUGCUGCAUGGUUGUCGUCAGCUCGUGCCGUGAGGUGUCGGCUUAAGUGCCAUAACGAGCGCAACCCUUGCCGAUAGUUACUAACAGGUCAUGCUGAGGACUCUGUCGGGACUGCCAUCGUAAGAUGUGAGGAAGGUGGGGAUGACGUCAAAUCAGCACGGCCCUUACGUCCGGGGCUACACACGUGUUACAAUGGGGGGUACAGAGGGCUGCUACCACGCAAGUGGAUGCCAAUCCCAAAAACCUCUCUCAGUUCGGAUUGAAGUCUGCAACCCGACUUCAUGAAGCUGGAUUCGCUAGUAAUCGCGCAUCAGCCACGGCGCGGUGAAUACGUUCCCGGGCCUUGUACACACCGCCCGUCAAGCCAUGGGAGCCGGGGGUACCUGAAGUGCGUAACCGCAAGGAGCGCCCUAGGGUAAAACUGGU
rnacentral:rRNA from 1 species